rnacentral:rRNA from 1 species
CCUACGGGAGGCAGCAGUGAGGAAUAUUGGUCAAUGGUCGGGAGACUGAACCAGCCAAGCCGCGUGAGGGAUGAAGGUACAGAGUAUCGUAAACCUCUUUUGUCAGGGAACAAAGGCGGGGACGUGUCCCCGGCUGAGUGUACCUGAAGAAAAAGCAUCGGCUAACUCCGUGCCAGCAGCCGCGGUAAUACGGAGGAUGCGUGCGUUAUCCGGAUUUAUUGGGUUUAAAGGGUGCGCAGGCGGUCUGUUAAGUCAGCGGUCAAAGCCCGGGGCUCAACCCCGGCCCGCCGUUGAAACUGGCAGUCUCGAGUUGGAGAGAAGUAGGCGGAAUGCGCGGUGUAGCGGUGAAAUGCAUAGAUAUCGCGCAGAACUCCGAUUGCGAAGGCAGCAUGCCGGCUCCACACUGACGCUGAGGCACGAAAGCGUGGGUAUCGAACAGGAUUAGAUACCCUAGUAGUC